ensembl:lncRNA
AGGCAGCCCAGCAGCCAGGCCCUGCGCUCGGAGCGCGCCCUCUCUCCCCAACUCCUCGCUCUCGCCGUGGUUCAUGAUCCCAGAGAAUUGAAAACAGACUGUUCCUCAACAGCUGCCUCCUUCUCCAACUUUGAACCCAUUCUGGAGAAUAGAAAAAGAACUGCAAGAUUAAAAGCAUCCUUCGUAUUUGUUGCUGAGUUGCUCAUGGACAUAUAAGGAAAGAGAUCCUUCCUCCAUUCUUUCCAACUCUGCCUACUCCAGCCUUUUCUCCAAAAGAGUAUUAUAGCACUUGGAGCAGUAUUGUAGCACUUGGACCACGUUCCCGUCCAUGGGGUCGCAAGGAGUCGAACAGGACUGAGCAACUGAACAAGAAGCACUUGGAAAGCUUCUGAUUUAAAUAGCCUCAUUUCAACUCCAAAUAAACCAUGAUUCCCUCCAAGACUGAUAGGAAAGACAGGGCCACUUCUGGACUAUCUGUGAGGAUGUGUUUCUUUCUAUAAUACUGAAGCACUUUUUAUAAACCUUUUGGUGUAUUUAAAUAAAUCUAUUUGGACAUUAAGAGAAGUCAUAUAUACAAAGAUAGCUUUGCUUUAUUCCAGUAAUCCCGAUAUUAGAAAAGAAUUUCACAAUCUGAGACGCCUUGGCCAAAAAAAAAAAAAAAGUUUUCUGCGUGUAUGUGCAUGUCUUCGUGCGCACGUUUAUAAACAUCUCCCAGUCCGCGUUUGCGUGUUACCUCCCUCCUGCCACACACUCGAAGGCAGAGGCGUCGAGGGAUCGCCCCCAGAGAGCUGUGUUUACUUAGGUUUUUUUUAAUCUCGCCGCCAUGUAUGACAAGUGUUACUUCAAGAAAUUCAUCAGCCUUCUAUAGAUACUUCCAGUUUUGCUGUAAUGAUCUGCAGAAGAGAACUGCCAUCACUUUCUCGCAUCCCAAGGUGUUGCAGGAACUCACCGAAAGGGGAAAGUGGCUGAAACGCUUAAUUACAGUGGGGGAGGGAGGGGCG